CUGCUCUCACAGCUUCAUGGCAGCCAGUGUGCAGCAGGACGCUGACAGCAGAGUGGCUCCAGUGAGCUGCCACUCCAGAUGUCAGGAACAAGCUCACAGACUGAGUGAAGCCGAGAAGGAUUGCAAACACCAGUGAGGAAGGGCUGGGAGACAACAGUGAUGAAGAGGAGCAGGCUUUCAGGCCAUAAGGUGGCUGUGAACUGCUUUGAAAUGAGGACAGGCCUCCCGGGAGGAAGGAAGAAUGCACCGAAGCAUGCACUGAUGAAAGUUUCUAUCCGAAGACCCAGAGUCAUGUUACUCUUCAUGGAAUGGGGCUGUCUCCUGGCUCAACAACCACAGCAUUUUCACACUUACAAAAGAAAAGGUCUGUCAAAAUCCAGUAUGCCACCAACUGGGGAAUAUAAACCCCCUUUCUAUUUUUUUUUAAGUUUACAACAACUUCAUAAAACAAAGAGGCUUUUUUAUUUCAUGUUUGUCAAUAAACCUGGCAAUAGAAAUACCAAUUUGAACAGCAAUUUUCCUGCUGGUCUGAGCUGAAAUUAGCUCUGGAUGAAUUGGUUUUCAGUUUUUACAUGUAAAUUCUCUCCACAACCCCUGCUCCUAUAGAUAGUUGUAAGACAUUACCCUGUUUAAUGGCCAUGUCUCUGCCCAAACCUUUGGUUCUUAAAGAUGACACCAAUUUAUGCUGCAAUGACUCUGACCAAUUCUAGUCUAAAACCUGGGCACAAAGGGCAUAUUGCUGCAACCACAUGGUCAGCAGGCAGGCGAAGGUGGCAGCCCAUCCAGACAGGGUGGAGCAAGGCUUGGAACAUGGAUGUCCUGAGGACCAAUGUAGGCUUGUCCCACUGACCUUCAUCACUGUGCCUCAAUGACCUUCAUCUCUCUCACUUCCAGAAACACUGCUCAGAUUCCAGCCAAGCCCUGAGAGGGGUUCUGGAAAACUCUAAUUCAUUCUGGGGCUGAUGUUUUCCUAUAUUGGCAUUGCCAGAUUUAGCAAAUAAAAAUUUAACAAAUAAUUGUUAGUAUAAGUAU
ensembl:lncRNA